rnacentral:tRNA from 1 species
GGGCGAGUGGUGGAACUGGCAUACACGCAUGACUUAAAAUCAUGUGCCGUAAGGCUUGAGGGUUCGAGUCCCUCCUCGCCCA